UACGGAGGGGGCUAGCGUUGUUCGGAAUUACUGGGCGUAAAGCGCACGUAGGCGGCUUUGUAAGUUAGAGGUGAAAGCCCGGGGCUUACCACUCGGAAUUGCCUUUAAGACUGCAUCGCUAGAAUGUGGAGAGGUAGUGGAAUUCCGAGUGUAGAGGUGAAAUUCGUAGAUAUCGGAAGAACACCAGUGGCGAAGGCGACUACUGGACAC
rnacentral:rRNA from 1 species